GGAGAAUUUUCCAUUUCUGAUUUCCAUGUCUGCUGAAAUUGGUCAAAAAUUAUCUGUAAAAUGCUCAACUUUAACCAUUUUGGAUUAAAACUAAAGUUACUCUGAUUUAAUCAAAUAUUUGAAAGUCCAUAUUUAUUCAAGAUAUUUUGAAUACAAAUCAACCAUUCAAUAUUUUAAGAGUACUAACUGAUAUUCUAGUUAGUAUUACCAUAUCUUUUGAUCAUCUGACCAAAAUACAACAUUGUUUUAGCAGUCAAUAAAUAGGUGUAAAAACUCAUUUUAAAAUUAGUAAUUACUGGUAAUAACUG
rnacentral:lncRNA from 1 species